UACGUAGGGUGCGAGCGUUGUCCGGAAUUAUUGGGCGUAAAGAGCUCGUAGGCGGGCUGCCAAGUCAGGGGUGAAAUCUUUCGGCUCAACCGGAAAAGAGCCUUUGAUACUGGCGGUCUCGAGUGGGGUAGGGGCACGCGGAACUUCCGGUGGAGCGGUGAAAUGCGUAGAUAUCGGAAGGAACGCCGGUGGCGAAAGCGGCGUGCUGGACCCUUUCUGACGCUGAGGCGCGAAAGCCAGGGGAGCGAACGGG
rnacentral:rRNA from 1 species